CCAAUAGCGUAUAUUAAAGUUGUUGCAGUUAAAAAGCUCGUAGUUGAAUUUCGGGAUCAGUUGGUCGGUCGUGCCUCGGUACGUACUGGUCAAAUUGAUUCCUACCUUCUGACGAACCACGAUGUCAUUAAUUUGGUGUCGUGGGAAAUCAGGACUGCUACUUUGAAAAAAUUAGAGUGUUUAAAGCAGGCUCGCGCUUGAAUACAUUAGCAUGGAAUAAUGAAAUAGGACGUUUGAUUCUAUUUUGUUGGUUUCUAGGAUCGACGUAAUGAUUAAUAGGGAUAGUUGGGGGCAUUAGUAUUAAAUUGUCAGAGGUGAAAUUCUUGGAUUUAUUGAAGACUAACUACUGCGAAAGCAUUUGCCAAGGAUGUUUUCAUUAAUCAAGAACGAAAGUUAGGGGAUCGAAGACGAUCAGAUACCGUCGUAGUCUUAACCAUAAACUAUGCCGACUAGGGAUCGGAUGAUGUUAAUUUUUUAAUGACUCAUUCGGCGCCUUACG
rnacentral:rRNA from 1 species